rnacentral:tRNA from 1 species
AGCCCUGUGGGGGGCUCGAACCCCCAACCUUGUGAUUAAGAGUCACACGCGCYACCGAUUGCGCCAACAAGGC